ACGCCUCCUGUUGGGGUGGGAGUUGAGAUCGGCUGAGGGCCGGUUCAAGGGGUGAGCAGGCGGUCCUGUUCCACCGGUGGUGUGCC
rnacentral:tRNA from 1 species